rnacentral:rRNA from 1 species
GGAGGGUGCAAGCGUUAAUCGGAAUUACUGGGCGUAAAGGGUGCGUAGGCGGUUAGGUAAGUUAUCUGUGAAAUCCCUGGGCUUAACCUGGGUAGGAAAGAUGAUACUGCUUGACUGGAGUGUGGUAGAGGAUAGUGGAAUUUCAGGUGUAGCGGUGAAAUGCGUAGAGAUCUGAAGGAACACCAGUGGCGAAGGCGGCUAUCUGGACCAACACUGACGCUGAGGCACGAAAGCGUGGGGAGCAAAC